CCUACGUGAGACAGCAGUGAGGAAUAUUGGUCAAUGGGCUUACGCCUGAACCAGCCAAGUCGCGUGAGGGAAGACUGCCCUAUGGGUUGUCAACCUCUUUUGUCAGGGAGCAACGCCGGCUACGUGUAGCCGGACUGAGAGUACCUGAAGAAAAAGCAUCGGCUACGUCCGUGCCAGCAGCCGCGGUAAUACGGUGGAUGCGAGCGUUAUCCGGAGUUAUUGGGUUAACAGGGUGCGUAGGCGGAAUGACAAGUCAGCGGUAAAAGCGCGGAGUUCAACCUCGCUCCGCCGUUGAAACUGGCGUUCUUGAGUGGGCGAGAAGUAUGCGGAAUGCGUGGUGUAGCGGUGAAAUGCAUAGAUAUCACGCAGAACUCCGAUUGCGAAGGCAGAAUACCGGCGCACAACUGACGCUGAAGCACGAAAGCGUGGGUAUCGAACAGGAUUAGAUACCCGAGUAGUC
rnacentral:rRNA from 1 species